rnacentral:rRNA from 1 species
GAUGAACGCUAGCGGCAGGCCUAACACAUGCAAGUCGAGGGGCAGCACAGGUAGCAAUACUGGGUGGCGACCGGCGGAUGGGUGCGUAACGCGUAUGCAACCUACCAUUGAUUGGGGCAUAGCCCGAAGAAAUUCGGAUUAAUACUCCAUAAUAUUCAUCAAAGGCAUCUUUUAUGAAUUAAAGCUUUUGCGAUCAAUGAUGGGCAUGCGUGACAUUAGUUAGUUGGUGAGGUAACGGCUCACCAAAACGAUGAUGUCUAGGGGUUCUGAGAGGAUUAUCCCCCACACUGGUACUGAGACACGGACCAGACUCCUACGGGAGGCAGCAGUGAGGAAUAUUGGUCAAUGGACGCAAGUCUGAACCAGCCAUGCCGCGUGCAGGAUGACGGCCCUAUGGGUUGUAAACUGCUUUUCACGGGAAGAACCCUCCGACGUGUCGGAGACUGACGGUACCGUGGGAAUAAGCAUCGGCUAACUCCGUGCC